UCAGGAUGUUGGACCUUUCUACUCCCAGGGGACCCAGAGAUAUCCGUCCAUACUCCUAUUCAUCCUCAUCCUUACUCUUCUUAAUUCAAUCUAGAAUUUUGUCUCCGGAGAAAAAACUGUACUUUUGUUAAAUAUUUAAAAAAAAAUUACACUUGAACUGGUUCUAAUCCCACUGAAGCCGAUAUUGAAAUGGUGACUGAUACUGAAGUGAGAAUCGGUAAAUAAAGCUCAACUUAACCUUAAAAUAUCUUUUAGUACACUGAUUUUAUCAUUUUUAAUUGUUAUUUCAGUGUUUUAUUUUGUUAACUACAGAAAAAGUUAAAUGAAAACCUAUGAAAAUAUUAAUUAAAUCGACCUCGAAACAGACCAGUAUGUGUUGUUAACAUGUAUUUUUAGUUUGUAAAACAAUAAGUACAUUUACUCUUCAGGUUGAAAGAACCCUUUAAAUUGUGAAAUUUUGUGUGUGACAAAAAAAUUUAAUAAAUUUUAACUUGCAUG